rnacentral:rRNA from 1 species
GAUGAACGCUGGCGGCGUGCCUAAUACAUGCAAGUCGAGCGAACGGACGAGGAGCUUGCUUCUCUGACGUUAGCGGCGGACGGGUGAGUAACACGUGGAUAACCUACCUAUAAGACUGGGAUAACUUCGGGAAACCGGAGCUAAUACCGGAUAAUAUAUUGAACCGCAUGGUUCAAUAGUGAAAGACGGUUUUGCUGUCACUUAUAGAUGGAUCCGCGCCGCAUUAGCUAGUUGGUAAGGUAACGGCUUACCAAGGCGACGAUGCGUAGCCGACCUGAGAGGGUGAUCGGCCACACUGGAACUGAGACACGGUCCAGACUCCUACGGGAGGCAGCAGUAGGGAAUCUUCCGCAAUGGGCGAAAGCCUGACGGAGCAACGCCGCGUGAGUGAUGAAGGUCUUCGGAUCGUAAAACUCUGUUAUUAGGGAAGAACAAAUGUGUAAGUAACUAUGCACGUCUUGACGGUACCUAAUCAGAAAGCCACGGCUAACUACGUG